UGUCAUCCAACCCUGUAGGUGGCGCUAACGCACAAUCUCUCAUUUGCCAACCGCCAAUUAGAAGAAGAACGAAGAAGAAGAAAUCCGACAGACGUGUUUAUUGCAGCGUUUGAGACUUUUUCUCCUCGCUAACAUGGUUUUGAACUUAAGGCCUGCUAUUGUUUUGUUCCCUGGAUUCUUGCGGACAGAGUGACGUGCAGCAGUUCCGGGUUUAUUGAUCUCUGAGUCUACAUUGGUUCCUCUAAAGACUCAGACGUGUCUUGCAUCGGUAGGUGUGCGUGGAACAAAAGCCCUCUUUGGAACAUGCAACCUCUCAUGAUUUUCGAGGACAAUCUCAACGCAUGGAAAGGCGUAUGCGAGGCAUGUGUGUCAGUAGCACUGGCCUAAAGGUGAACUCCGUCGUACGCCUCGUGCGGAGGGAGAAGAAAAGGGAAAGGAGGUCGAGGAGCGACGGAGAAAAGGCGGGUGGGGCCUGCUGAGUGACUCAAGGCUGCUGAGUGACAAAUCAAACGCCGCUUGACAGAACGCACCCCGGCUCCAAAAUUCACUGGCUCCCUCGACUGCACAGGUGGUCUUUGUCUCUCACACACACACACACACACACACACACACACACACACACACGCACACACACAAACAUGCACACACACUCAUAACGCGGUGCAACCUCAAUGGGUGAUUGCUCUCUGCAUUAAACAGGUUAAUCUCUGCAGGAAAAACAAUACUAUUUGAGUUUGACAAACAUUCCUGAUCACACAUAGAGAAUCAACAUUCAACAGGAAACAGCAACAUCAAAUCACACAGUUGUUUUUGUGUGUGUGUGAUCUAUUAAGAUAUUACAGGUAUAAUCCAGUGCCCCAUAUGUGACCCAGCAGUUGCAACACAACAUGCCAGGAUCUGACCUCAUCCACUCACACACGCACCGUGACACUUGAUUAAUGGGUUGACUGGGGUGAACCUUGUGUUUCGGUCCCAGGUCAGUGUUUUUGUGCCGUUCCUUGAAGGGAGUGGUCAAGUUGUCCCGGUAAAUUGAUGGUGCUUCCAGGAAGGAGGCAGAUAAAAAUAAGUGCUAUGUAGCGAGGCUCGCUGAACCUCUUUAUGCACAGCUUUUUGUGCUCGCUCGCUCUCUCUCUCGCCCGCUGGAACAAAGAGAAACCACUUUGGGUUGUCAGUCAGUUCCAGUUUACCUUGAUAACUUUGGCAUAUUGUCAAACUUUAAUCUAUAAUGGGCGUGUGUGCAAAGCAAAGAAUCCCUAAGAAUGAUCUAUUUGCUCAUUUCUUAGGUCUUGUUUAAAUAAAUGCAUUACAUAAACUCUUUCUGUAUUUGUUUGUAAACAUCAGGAAAGGAUGCGCUGAGCAAAUUUACUCUCAAGUGUGGUCAUGAGGGUGUUGAAGUAACUCAGACUCAAGAUGCCACCUAACAACAAGGGACUUUUUUAUACCUUGUUAUUUAAAGGUUUCACUAAGACUAAAUUUUCCUUUUUUUCCUGUUUCUUUUUUUAUAAACCUUAAGGUUGCUUGCAGAAAAUUAAGAACUAAACCUUUUAAAGUGACUAAAUAUAUUUGUAAAACGAAAGGGGAACCACACGUUUUGACCGACGGUCCAACCACUGGCAGAGCAUCUGCAAAGUCGGACGUGUCCGCGUGUGCGUCCUUUAACUUAUGCAUCUGCACAACAUUGUGUAAAUCAGGAUUCCCACAGAAAUAACCCCCGCGUUCUGCAGCCGCGUGCUGAUGCCAUUUCGGAAAUUUUGUAAAUGUGAAAUGCUCCGUCAUGCUCGGCGUGUUAAACAUCUUAUGAACAGACUUGCAACCUGCCCGCCUGUCUGCUUCCCUGUCUGUACUCCUCCUCGGGAGACGGGGAUUAGAGGCCUUGGAGGACCGACUGUAUGGAUGGUGUAUGAAUAACUUGGAGAGAGGUGACAGACGGGACAGAUCGCGUCUCAUCACCAGUAAAGCCUCGGGGCUCCCAUAGGGGACCAGUGCAUCACACAGAGAGCUACAUAAAGGGCCGCCGCAGACGAAGGCCUGGUCAAGGCCUAAGCUAUAGAAGCCCUGACAUCUGGCUUUCUUCUAUGCUUCACCGCCAACCUGCUACCCCAGUCUGGCAGCUAUAUGCACUUCAUUAUUGUGCCUUAAUGCGCUCUUGAAUCACAGUCAAAAUUUCGUCCUGCUAUGUGUUUUUAUUGCCAGUAGGAAUUCAUGCGAUAUGAAGUAUCUGCCAUAAGAUAUACAGUAAGUUAUGGCGGCGCGUGGAGGACGCGGCAUCUUUAUUAUGCCUCUUUAAGUACAAAAUGUGCAAUGUGUGUUGCGUUUUGGCCAACAAACUGUAAAGAUAAAAUUAUGAUGAAACAAUAAAGGCAGGCUCAAUCAUUUUGAGGGGAAGAUACACAGCAGGUGGUAAGAAAAGCUCUGACAGAACCCCUGAUUUGUGCAGAAUUGUGUUGCUUAAAGGAUAUGGCCACCAGAUGCCCAUUUGGAUGAAAAUCUAGGUUUCAGUCUAAUCUGUCAAUUUCGGAAGCCAAAAACGUGUCAGCUUCGUGAGCAAUGCAAGAAACUUUAAUGGGAACACUGUUCCAAAGCACUUUUUUUACUUUAUUAGACUGCAGAAUUGUCGGCCACGUGUUUACAUUUCUAUGAUUUCAGUUAUCGUUUAUUAAUCGUGCACUCGAAUAUUAAACGCUGCCUGUUUUUUUCCCCCCUUUAAGCGCGGGGCGAGUCGAUUGCCUUUGUGCUGGGUGCACAGGACCUCAGCAGUCCUAGGAUCAUAGCCAUAGAUGGCAGUGUUCUGCCUUAUUUUUGACAGCCCACUCUGCUCCCAGGCUGUGCACAGAGGACAUAACUAUCUGUGUGGGCUGUGGGUUCGGGUUGGGAGGUACAUUUUAAUUUUUGCUUUAGAUAGUUUUGUCAGCUCUGCUCUAAACCAUUUGAAAUCAAAUUUCCGUGAUAGUGGCGUAUGAUAAAUAAUUGUUUUUUGUUAUCUUUUUUUAUGUAUGUUUGUCGUAUGAGUUCCUCUGAGUCACAAUGUGAGACAGAGGAAAUUUAAAUUUUAAAUGCUGCCUAUCACUGUCUGACCUAGUCUGAGACAUUUAUCUGUUGAUUUUAUGUUUGUUUAAUUUGAGGUUUUAUUUGAGGUUCUGCUAUUUGGAGCAUUAUUCAAAAUGGAAAAUUAAGUAAGUAGAUUAAUUAGACAAUUAAGUUGAACUUAAUGUGGAAGGAAGAGUCGCUGAAGCGUUGCCUGUAAAAACAUCCUGAUUUUUGUGCCUUUAUUUGCAGAGCUACACAAAAUGAGUCGACGAGUUCUACUUCAAUAAAUAGUGUUUAAACAACAGUAAAUUUCCUCGGUCUUUUGCUCUGACGGGGGCCAAGGUCGGUUUUAUAUUCGGCUGAAAUCAUAAAAUGACACUUGAGAUAAACAGAAUGUUUACCCUCCCCAUGUGAGCUGAGGCUGAUAUGUAAAUGCAGUCUUAUUCUUUCAUCAAAUUUGCAUUUACCCUCUUAACCAAACACUACAGGGCUCCAAUUCAAACACCGCUAAUGAUGGGUGGCCCUUUAUGACCGAUUGCCGUAUCGGCGAAAAGAGGAAAGAGCAAUUUAGCCUGGAAUGAAAGGAGUAAAGCAUAGUAGCUAUCUGUGAGUGCCUGACAAUAAUUGGAUCAAGUUUGCAGAGAAAUGGAUGUGUUUUGAUGCUCUAGUGGCUGACUGGCAAUCGUCUGGCUUUUCGCCUAUUUAUCAUUCCCCCUUUAUCUGCGACUGCCAGCCCUUUUUUUUUUUUUUUUUUUU